AUGAGCCAAGGCAAGCAGGUGGAGCAGCUUCCUUCCAUCCUGAGAUUCAAAGAAGGGACCAACACUCUCAUCAACUGCAUUUAUGUAAACAAUGCCUCGCUCUGCUUCCUUUGAUAUAAGCAAGGACCUGGAAAACAUCCUAUAUUCGUUAUUGACAUUCGUUGAAAUAUGGAAAGAAACCAGAGCCAAAGAUUUAUAGUUUUACUGAAUAAGAAAUCCAAACAUUUCUCCCUGCACAACACAGACAAUCAGCCUCAAGACUAAGCCAUGUACUUCUGUGCUGAAAGUG